UGCAGAUUCAUUUUCUGCCACCGAAUACAUUAGCAUGGGAUAAUGGAAUAGGACCCUGUCCUCCUAUCUUCAGUUGGUUAACUUGUAGAGGAUCAGGGUAAUGAUUAAUAGGGAUAGUUGGGGGCAUUAAUAUUUAAUUGUCAGAGGUGAAAUUCUUGGAUUUAUGAAAGAUUAACUUCUGCGAAAGCAUCUGCCAAGGAUGUUUUCAUUAAUCAAGAACGAAAGUUAGGGGAUCGAAGACGAUCAGAUACCGUCGUAGUCUUAACCAUAAACGAUGCCGACCAGCGAUUAGGAGACGUUGAAUACAAAACACCACCAUGUAUAAUUCAGUACAUGACCAGUCAAAUGGUUGUGUAUUGUUUGUAUAUGGCACCGGUGAAUGACUCCCCUAGCAGCUUGUGAGAA
rnacentral:rRNA from 1 species